UAGUCUGGUGGAAGGUGUCUCUGCUCAUGGCAGGGGGGUUGAAACGAGAUGAUCUGUAAGGUCCUUUCCAACCCAUGCCAUUCCGUGACUCUACGAUGAAUUCUGUGUGGGGUGAGCUGUGUCGGGGGCAGGCUGAGCACAGGGCGCGGUUGCUCAUGCAGUGUGUGUACCUGCCGUUAGGCGUCUGCCAGGGGCAGGCACAGGCGUUUCUCCCAAGUGAUGACUUGGAUCAGUGUUCCGCACUGGGUUAUUUUUAUCCAAGGCCUGUUACUUAAUCUUGUUUCCAUGAUUGCCCACAUGCUUUUAUUUGCACGUUACGGAGAGAGUAGGAGCAUGUGGUGUGAAGGAUGACAAGUAGAAAUAGAAACUAAAGCUACAGCUUUAGAGGUAGUGAAUGAAGCUAGUUGGUAUCUCUCUUGGCAAAUAAAAAGAAAUGGAAGAGAACUAAAGAUUUUUGCUGAUGAAGUGUGAAGAUUGCAUUAGUCUGUUAUUUAAACUGCACAUUUUAUCAUUUUAGUCAUCCUUUGACCCACCAAAGUGGACUUUUACACUGAGAACGAUUCCAUAUAAACAGGACAAGUGAACAAACUGACCAAACAACCGUGUGAGCUGCCUUAUGUGGAAGAAAAUUAAUGAAGCGUUUUUGGGGUGAUGACUGCACAUUUUUACCAGUGUCAACUCCUCCGUUGAAUCGGAAUGUUUUCAGUCUGAAGAUGAACAGUAAAGGACAACAUAGAUGUCGGAGACAGGAGUCUGGUCUGGUAGGCUGUUGAACAUCAUCUGCAGCAUGGGACUACAGUCUAUAUCCAAGAAGCAGGGUCCUUUCUUACAGGUGGCAAGAUGCAAAACACAUUUUCAAGUAUCUUCUUGAGCAGAUAUAGGGAACAAAGUAAAAUCAAAGAAGAAAACACUGGAAUUUUCUUAUAUAAUAUUAGUGGAUAUUAACCUUAUGUUGUCUUCUGUGUCUCUUCGUUAUAGGCACUUGUUUGGACUGAGAUGCAUAUUAAAUAACCUCUGACAGUGUGUUAAGAUAGUGAUAGUGUUUAGCAGUGCCCUCUGCAGGCUUUUAUUUGGUAAGCAGAGAAAGCUGUAGCAACUCUGCUUGUUUUGAUUAUGUGUUUAUACUGGUUGACCUGGUUCUUUUUAUGUAUUUUGCUAGCAGAGUACCAUCUGAACUUUGGAAUUUUGUUCCCAAGCUGCUUGGAAAAAAACACAGAGUGCUGUAAGUGAUCCACUAAGUGCUACAGAAAUUACCCGCUUGUUUCAAGAGCCUAGUUUCUUAUCAGUUUGUGUGUUACAACCAUACAGCGUCCUGGGCAACAGGAAUUCAAGUUCCCAUCUCUCUUCCCCCUAGGAACUUAUUUCUGUCUGUACUGACCUGGCUGUGUCUGAAAGAAAUGGGUGAUCAAUUCAGCUUUCACUCCUUUGUGAUCAGUGACUACACUGAAAAAAAAAUCAGCUUUUUUUUAAGGGCCUUGUGUCACAAUCAACCAAGCUGUUACUGAGUCAGAGCCAUCCAAACAUCCCUAAAAUACAGUUGAAAGUACAGUUGAAACUGUCACUGUCAGAAGAGGCAUCAUAUUUUGAGCUGUUUCCUGUUGAAGUCCAGUGUUAAAGAAAUUGUUUUCAAAUUCUGCCUUUUUUACCUAUUUGUUAAUGAUCUGUAUGUUGCGGCUUAAAAAUACCUUCUAGUUGCAGGACAGAACUUGGAAAUAAUUUCUGUCUUGGUAAAUUACAUGAAAAUCAAUUGCUCAUCCCAAAUCAUCAUUGAUUAAAUGGUAACUAUUUCAGUACAAGAAUACAUCACAAUAAAGUAGAGCCUUUUCAUUACUGUAUUUAUGAGUAAAUUGCUGUCAUUCGUGUCUAUGCCCUGCACACCAAAGAAAAUAUGUUUUCCAGUUAUGAGGCUCAGAAAUAUGAGGACAGGUAUAUGCCAAGAGUUCUGUCUUCUAAUCUGAGACCAUAAAGUGACAUCUUUGUGGUCUCUUGGGAUGUCAUCAAAGUCUUUGUUGUUAAAAUCUUACUAAAAUCUUACUGUUAUGUGUGUAAAUUAUUUAAAGAGACAGAUUUGAACUUUUUUUGUCAAGCAGAAGCUUGUACUUACUGAGCUGAAGGGGCAAAAGAUGCAAUGUCAGGACUAGCUGCUAAUAUACAUACAAAAAAAAAAGUAUGAAUACUGUCAGUUAUAUUCUUAGAUGGACCUCACAAAUAUUGAAUAACAGAAAAAUAAACCCAUUCAAGAAAAAUGCAUUUGAAAAAUUAUAGAAAGUUGGUUUACUUUAUCCACAUUUAGAAAAAUAUCUGGGUAUUCUGUGGCUUGUUCAGAGGUUUGAUGUUUGUAAAUUAACACUGUGGAGCUAUAGAGCUUGUUCUUUAGGAGAUUUAAAUUAGAUAGCAUCAAAACAGCAAAAUAAAAGGGGAAAUGCUGUAUGAACUUCUGCUUUUAGGCUACACUGCAACAGUCACAGUUUUUCAGCCACUGAACCAUUGCAACUUUUCAGCAGUUCCUUGACAGAGUUAAAUAGACAUUUUCCUAAAUGUAAUCAAAGCUCUUGUGUUCCAUUAAUAAGAAAAAUAAAAGUAUUUCAGCUUUUGUAGAUUACAGCCACAAAACUACUGAGUGGGAAGAAAACAGGUUGGAAUGCUGACAGAACAAAAUACAUUUCUGUACACCAAGGCUUACUUGUUUUGGUAAGCAUGCUAUGUGUCAUUGGAUGUCAGUUUUUCAGCUUGGAUACUGUUUUAUGACUUGGCUUAAUACUUAUAAUAAAUAAAUAAGGACAUGCUGUGGCAGAAAUGUUUCCAUUACUCAUCUUUUUGGAACGAUAUGAUGAAACAUAGCA